UACGUAGGUGGCAAGCGUUGUCCGGAUUUACUGGGCGUAAAGAGCGCGCAGGCGGUCGUGCAAGUCGCGUGUGAAAUCCCUCGGCUUAACCGAGGAACUGCCUGUCAAACUGCAUGGCUUGAGACCAGGAGAGGUGAGUGGAAUUCCCAGUGUAGCGGUGAAAUGCGUAGAUAUUGGGAGGAACACCAGUGGCGAAGGCGGCUCACUGGACUGGUACUGACGCUGAUGCGCGAAAGCGUGGGGAGCAAACAGG
rnacentral:rRNA from 1 species